UUAAACUGUGACCAAGAUCAAUUAAAACCCUGCCUCACCCCGAUAGCAAUCUCCCUUCGCAGCAGCCAGUGGCUCUCUUUUCGUCUUCUUCCCACGAGAGGCACAUCCAAGGUGCUGCAGAAUCUUUGAGCUCAGGAGGAGAGACAACAUGCCUGCAGGGUUGCCACGACAGAGUGCAUGAAAGACCCGGGAGAGGAGAGGAAGAGAUGGAAGUGAAGAAAAGAGGUGGCCACCAGUUUGAAAGACACAAGCCUAUCUAUUGUGUCAUCAGAGAUAACAGAGGAAAUGUGUCCACCAUAUUUUCAACAAAACAGACGACCCAGCAAAACUACAGACAAGCUUCUCAUUGCAUCACAAACCAGAAAAAAAACAUACCAUCUGCUGUCAUUUUCACCCUCAUUCAAUUGAGUCUGUUUUGUACCCCUGUCAGCACUGUUUCAAUUACAUUCUGUAGCUUAUGUCUACAGUCGAUUACACCAGCUUGGUGUUCAUAUGAGAGGCUGUUGGUUGACUUUGUAGCAGGGUUUUCUUCUCUCAUUGUCUAGUCCAAAGACAAUGGCGUUAUUGGCCUGCGAGCAAUAUCCACUCCUUUGCACUACAGUGCAAGAAUUAUGUUGUGAUUGAUCCAAGUGCAGAACAAAAAGAUCCACGUUUGAUUCCUCAAUGUCGCUGUUUGUCUUUUGUCUGUUUCUUCCCUUUUCUUACAUUUUUUAUUUUUAGUUGGUGGGCCUUUUUCUUCUCCUAGAUUGGCUUUGCUUAGUUGUGACCUAGUUUAUUGGGGGAGGGGGGUGGGGGUGGGGAGGCAUGGGAAUCAGGGCCAGAUUAACUUUCUAUUGGUUCUCCCUAGCACAGCUCCAUAUGUCAGAGCCACUGCUGUGCAAAAAAGAAAAAAGAGGAGGAAGUCACUAAAAGAGUAAAAUUGGAGGAGUUGAAUUUUAUUAACAUUUAUAUGUUUAUUUAUAUAUAUUUUGGGCUAUAUAAAUAAAAUGUAAAAAUCCCACUGCAACUGAGCAGCUGUAUCCAAA